rnacentral:rRNA from 1 species
CCUACGGGUGGCAGCAGUGAGGAAUAUUGGUCAAUGGACGAGAGUCUGAACCAGCCAAGUAGCGUGAAGGAUGACUGCCCUAUGGGUUGUAAACUUCUUUUAUAUGGGAAUAAAAUGUUCCACGUGUGGGAUUUUGUAUGUACCAUAUGAAUAAGGAUCGGCUAACUCCGUGCCAGCAGCCGCGGUAAUACGGAGGAUCCGAGCGUUAUCCGGAUUUAUUGGGUUUAAAGGGUGCGCAGGCGGAUUUUUAAGUCAGCGGUCAAAUCGUGGGGCUCAACCCCAUCCAGCCGUUGAAACUGGGGAUCUAGAGUGUGCGAGAGGUAUGCGGAAUGCGUGGUGUAGCGGUGAAAUGCAUAGAUAUCACGCAGAACCCCGAUUGCGAAGGCAGCAUACCGGUGCACAACUGACGCUCAGGCACGAAAGCGUGGGUAUCGAACAGGAUUAGAUACCCUUGUAGUC